CCAGCCAGCAACUUUUUCCAUCGCUGCCGACUGCUGAUGAGUGCGAGGGAGAAAGAGCAAGAAGGAGAGCGCAGGAGCGAGGGAGCCGGGCGCUGCCGAUUCAGCCGCCGCGGGGUAAACACGGAGAGAACUCCACGGCAUUUCAGAAAACGAUUUACAGAUUUGUUCCACAUUCUUCUAGAGCUUUCACUCAAAUGCUCACUGGUGGCACGUCUUGGGAUAUUAGCACAGGACCAGAGGUGAAGGGAGACUCACAGUAAUUCAGAUUGACCAGGUGGAUCUAUCCCAGAGGAUCAACUAAAAAGUGUCACCUUCCCAGCACAAGUCUCUUAAGGAGGCUUUAAUCUAAGGAAUGAAAUUCAGGGACGAGUAGGUGAGACAGAAAAAGAACUUGGAAGAAGGAAAUUAGUAAGAGGUCAGAGGAAAUUUCUCUUGGGACUGUAAUAGAGGUUUGAAUGUCAGUGAGUGGCUAAGGCUAAGGAGAGAAACAAUAGAGCUGUCUCAUUUAGGCAGAUGAUUAUCUCUGCGUUGUGAUGAGUGGCCAUCCAGUGAUAGGGAUGGAGCACACCUUAUGCAGUGUGAACACACUACACCUGCUGAGCUCUUCAGCAAAUGCCCAAGAAUCAGUCAUGGAGAGAAAACACUGAAUCCAGCCUGAGGACCACAGUCACAUUUUCCACCUUAGACCUUGUUGGGUGGACACAGGACAGACACAUACAGUAUGAGCCUUCCCCUGAGCCCUGUUUUCAGGAAUUAUCAGUUUAGGAGAUUGUAACAGCAGAAACUGCACUUGAUCCCUAACUUUUAAUAAGUAAUAAUGUAGUAGGACUUUAAUGGACCUGUCUUCCCAAAAUUUGUCUAAUCUGUAUUUAUACUCUUAGUGUCUGAGGCAAGCUGUGAUAGUCAAGUUUACAAUCUGAUUAUGUGUACUUUUGAAUACUCAUGGUCUGCACUUAUCUGAGAGAGAAAUUUUAAAUCGCUGUAAUCUAAUCUUGCUGCCACCCAUCUUUUGCCACAGAUGAUGUGAUGACUGAGCUGUCAGAGAUAAGAAACCAGGGUCUUUGGCACAAAAGAAUAAUCUGCUGUCCUUUGAUGUAAGGGAUAGCUUUCUCAGUUGGGAGCAGGGAUUGAGUUCCUGUACUCAGACAAAAAGAAUCUGGUGUGAUGUGACUGAACUCCAUGGCUGUGCCCGGAGAAAGGAAAGGCUGCAUUCAUUGGUACCCACUCCUGAGGCACCACCUGAUCUGAUAUUUCAGUACCACAUGUGCAGCUCCAGCAUCUGGUGAGAAGGUGUUUUUCAUGAGAGCUGCUACACUACCUGGUCAGGAGACUGUUCGGGUUCACAUGUUGCCUGGAGAGAGGAGAUAUGAGCAAGCCAUAGGAACCAUGGAAGAGGAGGCAGGCAUAAUUAAAAUUGCAGGUUUUAGCUGGCCUCUUCAGCCUCUGCCUUUGCCAGGAUGAGCAGUGGCUGGGGGUUUUCAUCUGCACCAGGGGAAGUACCUCAAAGCCAGUGAUCUGCACAUACACAAGAGUGUUGGGGGAGUUUCUUGCUUCUCGGUUCAGGAAGAAUAAACUCAAAUCUAGGGUAGGAAGUAGAUGCCAUUUCUAGGUAUAUGUUGCAGUGGAGCAAGCUUUUUCCUCAGGAUUUAUAUAGCCUUGAGAGGAGAAGCAGGAACAGCUUGAAACGUGGAUGAGUACACAAAUCUUCACUUGGGACUGGGCAGGUUCUGAGACAGGUGGAAAUAUGGGCUUGGUCAAGGACAUAAAUCCUUAUGACAGUGAUUGCAAUAAUCUGCCAUCUGCAGGAAUCCUUUCCCCUGGAGUGUUUCAUACUCGCAAUCAGAGACUACUUUUGUGAAAAAUGUGGUCCUGAGAGAUUUCCUGGCUCCACAGCAUUCCUGUCUCCUGAAACAUGCUAGACGAUGCACCCUGUGUGAUGGAAGCACCUCAGGGACUGUGCCAACACUGCCUGUGCUGUGAUGGAAGGAAGGGAGAAAAAGGAAUGAAAGAGGAUACAGAGAAGGAAACAGAAUUGGGUGGGCUUAACCAGCUGAGUUUUUAGUAUGAGGCAGGGGCCUAACAUAGCCUGGCCUUUUGUGAAUCUGAAUGUCUUUUAGGCAAAGGAGUAUAAUCUUUACCUAGUAAAUGUUUGUAUAAUCAGGAUUUUUUGAAUCUACACUCAUUUUAAAUAAUGGCUUUUCUCAGAGAAGACUGUGUAAUGCAGGGAGACCAAGAAGAACACUGCUCCAUUGAUUCCUAUCAAGCCAUGGUGAGUGAUGAAUACUGUAGUUUGACAUUACACAUAAUUCCCCCAAACAGAAUCUGUUUGAAAAAAUAAAAACAAACAAAUCAGGAUACAACAGGUCUUGUUGCAGUUUCCCUUGGGGGGAAAAAAAUUACUUUCAGCUGUAAAUAUCACAAAAAAGUUGAGUGGUUUUUUUUGCUUUGUUUUGUUUCGUUUUCUAAAUAGGGUUUGGAUGCUUCAUUCUUUAAAUAAAACACAGACUAAUUAUAUAUAUAUCAAACCAACUACUUCCUAAUGCUUCUUUAUU